GCUGCUGUCGAAGUUCCAUCUACAAACGGAUAAUACUUUGGUAUUAGUGUAUACGAGUCGUUGAAGGAUCAAUACCAAACUUCUUGUUCUAUUAAGAAGUUUGGUAUUGAUCCAUUCGGUUCAGUAGUGUUUUAUUCACAUAUCACAUAAUCGUUUUUCAUUUUCAUUUCUUUUAUUCAACUUAUGAAAACCGCUGGUUAUUUCAUGAUCGAAUAUCGUAGUUUCUUCUGUACCAACCUGCAAUUUAUAUACUCUUAUUCUUCAAAAGAAUUUUAUUUUUUGAAAAAAGAAAAGCAUUGCAUUUUUCUUUUUUUUUUUUUUAUGUCCAACAUUUUGUUUUAUGUACAAUAUCUGUAUUUCAGCAGGAAGGAGGGUGAAGUAAUAAAGACUAAAUAAAAAAAUAAUGAAUGGUGAAAAUGGAAUCCUUUUGAGAGAGGAGGGGCGGAUGUAGCCAAGUGGAUCAAGGCAGUGGAUUUGUGAAU
rnacentral:misc_RNA from 1 species